ensembl:lncRNA
CAGGAAACUCUCCUGAACUGGUUCAGCUGCAGAGAUGGUGUUUAAUGAGGCGACGGUGGAGACGAGAGCAGAUCCUCAGACUCUCAGAGAACCUUAACAAUCAUCAGAAGGAGAUCGGGAGAUGAUGGGAGCGUCGGUUCUUUGGAUGCUGACGUUCUGCUUCGGUGUCGGAGGAGUCGCUUCAUGCUCAGAUGAACCGGCCAUCUCCGUGUCUGAACCCAGUAAAGUAUUGAUCUCCUGCCCAUCGUUCAGCUUCAGCAGCUCAGAGAUCAGCUACCUGCUGCUCUUCAACGGCAGCAGCAUCUUUCAGAUAUAUCUGAGCAAGCGGCAGAAUCAGAAGCUGAAGAGAGACGAAGACACAAAGAUCUACAGCAACAUCAGACCUAAAGGAAUCAAGAAGCCUAAUAAAGCUUAACAGCAACUAGUGGAGAAAAUCCACCGCAAUGAAAGCUACGAAUGAUUAGUGGAAGACGACACUGAAUGUACAGAAGAAGGGUUUCUUUUAAACUGAAACAUGCAAAACCUACAUGAGAUAAAUCCUGCAAUAGAAAUAUGGCUUCUGCAGCAAUUAAUACAUUGAAAUCCAAAGUUCAGGAGUGGAAAAAACUGCCACAAUCCCUCAGAUACACAAGAAACCCAAAGAUACACAGAAACUGUAUCGACAGAUUCACUGGAAGCGUGAUUUAAAAGACGAGGAGUGCAAUAAAAAUCCACAAAAAUGCCAAAUAAUUUCCAAUAAAACAAACUAUUCAUACAAAACAUUACUGUUAUCUGAUCAACAUUUACAUUUUAAAACCAACUGAACGUAUUUCUUGGGAUUGUUUUCUGAAGUGGAGUUUUGAACCAACAAAUAACUUAGAGUUUAACUUUAAACCUCAGAUUAUUCACAGCUGUGCCAAUUUUUGAUGUAAAGUGAAUUUUUGUUUGAUUAAUGGAUUCUACUGGCAGGAAAUGACAAACAAAGACGUUAAGGCUUUGCGUUAGACAUGAUUAUAAUUUUGAUAAAAUACCACAUCCAGAGUAAUUCAUCUUCUUUCUCAGUAAUUGAUAUCAAAUCCUUCAUCUUCCAGCCCAUCAAUCAAACAGCUCUUAUAAUAAUAACAGUCGUUCUGCAGGUCUUCACUGGGAUCUAGUUCCUCUUUGGGAUGAUCUCCAGCUCUUUGAGGUCUCUUGGUUUUCAGCUCCUCCACUGUUUGUCUUCACCUUUUCUUCACCACUUUGGCUUCAAAACUUUGUUGUGUUAGAAGUUUUUCUGCAGACUUUUCUCCACGAUCUAAACAUCAUCCUCUUUUCUCAUGAUGUUGUUUACUUUGAUGAAACUUCCUGGUCCUUCUUCUGAGACCUGUUUGACACUGAAGAUACUGAUCACGAGGUUCAAAGCUUGUACUUUCCUCGUGUCCAAACAUUUUCCUCUCAUUCGUCCACAGAAGUGAUGAGCAGCAGUGUCCUUCUUUGUCUGGCUGAGCUACUGAGAGUCUUCUUUGGUCUUCAGUGGAGACCAGCCCUGUUCAGUGUCUGACGGAGAUGUUUCUACCCGAACUUUUCACAUUCAUCAGGAUGUUCUUUGUGCUGAUCCUUGGAUUCUAGCAGAUGUUUCACACUGUGGAACUCUUCUGCUCCUUGACGAUGCUUUGCUCUCUGGACAGUGGACCUUGCAAACACUUAGAUGUGACCUUCUAGCCUUGAAAAGUCUCUCAGUGAUGAACUCUAUCAGCAGCUCUGAGCUCUUUGGUUUUAGCCACGACUGGUAACUGACUGUUACCAUCUGUUCUCACUUUAAUGUACUGUGUUGGUAAAUUAACAAGCAACAGAUACUUUAUUCAUCCCUUUGUGCAAUUUAAGGUCUCCAGUGGCUCACACACAUUACAUUUAAUAAAAACAAGAAACCUAAUAUGUAAAAACAUGAAAAGACACAUGCAAAUCUUGCUGAUAGAGGAAAUAAGAUGCAUGAUUGUGCUGAUGUUUACAAUAAAGAAGAUUCUUUAUUGUAAUGUAGAAAAUGUAGAAAUAGUUCAAAUCUAUCUCCUCUAACACAACAUUUUACUGUCUUCUGUCAUUUGUUUUUCCUUUCCAGUCAGAAGAAACCUUCUGGUCAAAUGAAAAUUCAAAUCAAAAUCAAAAUUUAGCAUGGAUAUAAAUAAUUUGAGGC